rnacentral:rRNA from 1 species
CCCCAGGUCAGGCGGGGCUACCCGCUGAAUUUAAGCAUAUCAAUAAGCGGAGGAAAAGAAACUUACAAGGA